GAAACUUAAAGGAAGUUGACGGGGCCCGGCACAAGCGGUGGAGUAUGUGGUUUAAUUCGAUGCAACGCGAAGAACCUUACCUGGUCUUGACAUCCCGGAGACCCUUAGGAAACUAGGGGUGCUUCCAUCUGGAAGAAUCUGGAGACAGGUGCUGCAUGGCUGUCGUCAGCUCGUGUCGUGAGAUGUUGGGUUUAAGUCCCGCAACGAGCGCAACCCUUGCCUUUAGUUGCCAGCAGUUCGGCUGGGCACUCUAAAGGGACUGCCGGUGUUAAACCGGAGGAAGGUGGGGAUGACGUCAAGUCCUCAUGGCCUUUAUGACCAGGGCUACACACGUACUACAAUGGCCGAUACAAAGGGCAGCGACACUGCGAGGUGAAGCCAAUCCCGUAAAAUCGGUCUCAGUCCGGAUUGGAGUCUGCAACUCGACUCCAUGAAGUUGGAAUCGCUAGUAACCGUGGAUCAGCAUGCCACGGUGAAUACGUUCCCGGGCCUU
rnacentral:rRNA from 1 species